AAACUGGAGAGUUUGAUCCUGGCUCAGAACGAACGCUGGCGGCGUGCUUAACACAUGCAAGUCGAACGGGAUCCAGAGCUUGCUCUGGUGAGAGUGGCGCACGGGUGAGUAACGCGUGGAUAACCUGCCCUGGUAUCUGGAAUAACAUCUCGAAAGGGGUGCUAAUACCGGAUAAGCCUACGGAGCCCUCGGUCUCUGCAGGAAAAGGUGGCCUCUAUUUAUAAGCUACCGUAUCAGGAUGGGUCCGCGUACCAUUAGCUAGUUGGUAGGGUAAUGGCCUACCAAGGCUACGAUGGUUAGCUGGUCUGAGAGGAUGAUCAGCCACACUGGAACUGAGACACGGUCCAGACUCCUACGGGAGGCAGCAGUGGGGA
rnacentral:rRNA from 1 species